rnacentral:rRNA from 1 species
UACGUAGGGGGCGAGCGUUGUCCGGAAUCAUUGGGCGUAAAGCGCGUGUAGGCGGCCCGGUAAGUCCGCUGUGAAAGUCCAGGGCUCAACCCUGGGAUGCCGGUGGAUACUGUCAGGCUCGAGUCCGGAAGAGGCGAGUGGAAUUCCUGGUGUAGCGGUGAAAUGCGCAGAUAUCAGGAGGAACACCAAUGGCGAAGGCAGCUCGCUGGGACGUGACUGACGCUGAGACGCGAAAGCGUGGGGAGCAAACAGG